rnacentral:rRNA from 1 species
AGAACGAACGCUGGCGGCAUGCCUAAUACAUGCAAGUCGAACGAACACUUCGGUGUUAGUGGCGCACGGGUGCGUAACGCGUGGGAAUCUGCCCUUGGGUUCGGAAUAACAGUUGGAAACGACUGCUAAUACCGGAUGAUAUCGAAAGAUCAAAGAUUUAUCGCCCAGGGAUGAGCCCGCGUAGGAUUAGCUAGUUGGUGAGGUAAAGGCUCACCAAGGCGACGAUCCUUAGCUGGUCUGAGAGGAUGAUCAGCCACACUGGGACUGAGACACGGCCCAGACUCCUACGGGAGGCAGCAGUAGGGAAUAUGGACAAUGGGCGCAAGCCUGAUCCAGCAAUGCCGCGUGAGUGAUGAAGGCCUUAGGGUUGUAAAGCUCUUUACCCGAGAUGAUAAUGACAGUAUCGGAGAAUAAGCCCCGGCUAACUCCGUGCCAGCAGCCGC